AUGGCUCGCAAAAGGCUUAAUGUUGCCAAAAAGCGCGUGUUGAAGAAGGCAGCGAGCAAAAAUGCAAGUUUCGUGGUGCAGUCGCUUUCGGAAUUAAAGGAAGAAAAUACCAUCAACUUGGAAUCGAAUGCAUCCGGCAAGGAAACGAUGGCGGUUCCUUCCUAUAACUUCGACCAUCAUUCUGAUGACGAAGACGUCGAUAUGAGCGAAAAACCACCGUUACCGACAUCGCAAAUCACCCGCACUUACCGUCGAAAGAAAUCCGUUGACCAACUGCUACAGGACUGGGAAACUACAACUGCCCCAUGCGAACCCAGCUGCAGUAAUCCUGGACCCUCCAUUCAGAUUGUCCACAUCGAGUCACUCCACGAACAGACCAAUGAAGCUGCUGGAUCAGCUGUUAAUGAAGCGGCUGAUAUCGUCAUUCUGAACCCUCAAACAGGUAAUUAUUUUCUUAAAUUAAAUACAUUGAAGUACUCGUGUGGAAAAUCUGAGGACGUUGAUAAAUAAAAAGCAUUGGCGGAGUCUCUGCAGAAGGAUAAAGAUGGUUUAAUUUUGAAGAACGCCAAACUGGAGGCCCAAAAUGCGAAGCUGCUGGAUUCGUUGACAUCAAAACUUCUACCGACGCCAGAGAAGCCGUUCAAGGAAGAGGAAGGAUUCAUCGACGGUGAUGCGCUGCAGCGAAUGUCCCACGAAGCCGGCGACAAGGAUUAUUUGUUCCUGAAGUUCAUCAUGAUGAAGCUUUUUCCAGAAGGACUCGUUGGGCGUUCAGUAACAGGACGUGCUUCGAAUAACCCUUCCGGUCGCCCGAAGAAAAUCGGAGAUGGCAUCUCUCAUGACACCUGUGAACCUACAGGCAACGAAACUCCGCGAGAAACAUUCAAAGCUCCCUUGGAUCCCGAGAAAGUUAAAUGGAUCAAAAGACGACUUUACGACCGCCGUUUGUUCCUCGGAGAUGACGCUGCAACCGCAAACGCAUGUUACCGUAGUGCAGGACGCUUGAUGACUCGAAUUAUCGCCAACGCUUCUCGAUAAACAUACAGCUAAAUAGCGGAUUCGAUUUUAUUCACGUAUAAUGAUUUUAAACUGUUUAACUUGGCUGGCAACUUUUGAUUUUGAAUUUGUUCUUUGAUCGAUGCAAUUCAGAUCAGAAAAACUCAAUGAAUGUUUUAGUUAAAUGUUAUACUAAAUGUUACUAAUAAAACGAUUUUCAAACUAUUUUUUUCCUUUUUAAAUUAAAAAUUAACAAAAAAAAAAACAAAAAAAAGGAAAUAUCUAGGAAGGCUGAUAAUAUCAGCAUGAUAACUAAAUUUGUUAUCAAGUCAAGGCCAAUACCUGUUAUCAUUGAUCUUCGAUUAUAUCUGAUUGAUAACAAACUUAAUUAUCAUAUGGAAAAAUUCGCAUUACAAAACCAGUUAUCAAGUUGAUCAUUACGAUAACACGAUGAGAAAUUUUUGUGAUAUCAAUGGAGACAAUUUUUGUUAUCAAUUUUGUUAUGUUGCCUGUUUAUUCAACCAUACUGAAAACAAAUUCAAUUAUCAGCAAUCUGAUAACUUCAUAGCAAAAAGUGUUAUCAGUUUGCUAGCCAACUUUGAUCGGGUUUGCUUUCAAACGCUUCAAGUUUUUACGACAAACAACUUCGUCGGCGAGAACUGGUUUUGCUAUCGGGACUUUGAAAUGGGACUAAGGGGGUUUCCAGGAAGUUCCCAGAGUACCCAAAAGAAGAGUGGUCCAAGAGGUCCAAGAGGAGAAGCAUUUAAAUGGGCUUCGGGUGAGUUGCAUUGGUGUUUCAUGGCAUUUCGAAGGCGUUUCAGGGAAUCUCAGUGGCAUUUUAGAUGACAUUGAGAAGGUUACAAGACGUAUCCAGCGAUUGAAGAGCUUUUUGCAAGGGGUUUCAGGGAAUUUCGAUGGGUUUCCGGGGCGUCUUAGGAGGUUUCACUUUUAAUUUCGAAUUUCUAAUUUUUAAUAGUUUAUUCAACUUUCAAAACGUUUAAUGGUGUUAAGGGGGCUUUCAGGGGAGUUUAUGGGUGUUUCAGAGCAAUUAAAUUACUUUUGAGGGAAUCUCUAAAACCAUUUAUGAAGCCCCCUCAAACCCCUUGAAUUACUCCAAAAGCCUCCUGAAAACCCUAAUGAAAUGCCUCCGAAACACUUCUGACACCUGAAGCUUUCUGGGAGCCUCUGGAACCCGCAAAACUACACUGAGUGUCCCUGAAACCCCCUUGUUCCUCCCAAAACACUCUGAAAUCUCCCCAGGAACCUCCAGUAAAACGCCUAUGCAGGUCUCAUGAAAUCCGUUGAAACCCUUUUGAAGCCCUUUAAAAACCCUCUCGGAACACAGCUAAAAAUCUCUCUGAGACCCCCAUGGACAGUUUUGAGACGGAUGGACCUGUAUCGGCCACGUACCAGGCCGGAACCGGUUCCGGUAGGGGCCCUUGGAGAAACAUACAGAAUUUCUUGCAACGCUAUCAUACGACGGCUUCAAGUCCAUGAUUUUUCAUCCAGCUGUCAAUAGGCACUGUGCCGAUGACCAACAAUCGUUCUGGCCGCUUCCGGAUACUAUGGAAUCGAUUAUGUUGUGAUCCCCCGGAUUCAGGAUUUUUUGCAGCUCUACUUUUCGACGGCUCAAAAUUCAUGAUUUUUCGUCCAAAAGUCAACAGACUCUGUGUCGAUGACUAACAUUUCCAAGUAACAUUUUGAUGGCCAAUUUUAUGAGAACCGUCAUAAAACCAAAUACCUUCUAUUUUGGUUUUAUGGUGGUUCUAAUAACCUUUUUCACUCCAUUUUAUAAAAAAAUGUUACUUGGGAAUGAAUUUGAUCCACAAAAGAGAAUUGGCUUCUUAAACGGUGUUGAGAUAAUCGCAUAUUCUAAAUCUGCAUUCCAAACUGAGCCAAAAUCCAAAUUUUCAUGAUUUUCGGUGCCCGGGAACCUAUUUAAAAAUCAAUUUGAAGUUUGUAUGGGAGCGAUUUGUCGAAUCACCCCUUGUCGCAUUUUUUACUGGGCGCAGCUGUCAAGCAGUUGCCCAGCUAUCAAAAGGUGAUUUCAAAAAAUCUCUUUGAAAUUGAUUUUAGGUAUCUUUCGUAUGAAAUCAAAACAAAACAAUACAUUUUCUUAAAUUUAAAAACCCAAUUGUCAGACAAAAAGGUACAAAAGCAACAAAGAAGGCGCGGCGAUUACUCUGUAUCUCAACUUGUAAUAGGGCACUGCAUGAAAUUCUCUCCUUCUCUUUUACUCUUACAGAAAUUUUGUAAACAACAAGGCCAAGAAACAUGAAAAUCCCAUAUAAAAUCAAAACAAUGCAGAGCCCUAUAGAUAAUGACAUGAUCUCGAAAAUUUUUGAUGGUGACAAAAGAGAAGCGAAAUUUUCUACUCGUAAAUAAUCAGUUAUUACUAACCCGACGAUGAUGGAGUACUGAUCUUAUUUUGGGAUCAACCUAUGUCGCAUUGGGUGAAUUGUAGCAACAAUUGCAGGUUGUGACAUUGUCAUUUUUGUUGCGCGGUUGUUGGGAUUUGAUUCAGUGAUCUGACCACUUCCGGAAACUCUGAAACAAAAUCUGGGGACAUUUUCAGAAUUUCUUGGAAUUCCCACCUCUGUAAUUAUCGUUGAAGGGCAAUUGCUUUCAUGAGUUCAGCAAUAAUUCUUCUGAAGAUCCUUUCUUUCAGAAUGAAUUCCUACUCAUGUACUCCUUUAGUAUUUUCUCCACGAUUACCUGUACGGACACCACCAGCAAUUCUUUCAGGUUAUUUUUUCAGGAUUUAAAUAUCAACAUGUUUCCGGAAUUUUCAUGGAAAGAAGAUUCUCACAGGAUUUCCUAGAAUGAUUUCAGCAAUGAUUCCUCCACAAAUCCCCCAAGGUAUUCGUUUAGAAUGGCUUCCUACCCAUGUAUAUCUGCAAAAAUUUCUCCAGGGUGUCCUCCAGAGAUUCUUUCAGGAGUUUCUGAAGAAAUUUAUCAAAAAAAAAUUCUGAAGAGAUUAUCCUAGAUUAUCCUAGAAAUUCCUUCAGGGCUUCUUCAGAAAUUCCUCCAGGUUUUCCUCCAAGGAUUGCUGGUGAUUUAUUCAAACAUAAAAUUCCUUCGUCUCUUACUGGAAAAAAUAAUUAGAAGGCACGAAAUGUUGCUAAU